GGUGAUAUAACUCAAUAGUAGAGUGCUUGUCUACAGAGCAGGGGGCCCUGAGUUCAAAGUUUAGUACCACCA
rnacentral:tRNA from 1 species